UAAACGACUCUCGGCAACGGAUAUCUCGGCUCUCGCAUCGAUGAAGAACGUAGCGAAAUGCGAUACUUGGUGUGAAUUGCAGAAUCCCGUGAACCAUCGAGUCUUUGAACGCAAGUUGCGCCCGAAGCCUCUGGCCGAGGGCACGCCUGCCUGGGCGUCACGCA
rnacentral:rRNA from 1 species